UCGUAACAAGGUCUCCGUUGGUGAACCAGCGGAGGGAUCAUUACCGAGUUAUACAACUCAUCAACCCUGUGAACAUACCUAAAACGUUGCUUCGGCGGGAACAGACGGCCCUGUAACAACGGGCCGCCCCCGCCAGAGGACCCCUAACUCUGUUUUUAUAAUGUUUUUCUGAGUAAACAAGCAAAUAAAUUAAAACUUUCAACAACGGAUCUCUUGGCUCUGGCAUCGAUGAAGAACGCAGCGAAAUGCGAUAAGUAAUGUGAAUUGCAGAAUUCAGUGAAUCAUCGAAUCUUUGAACGCACAUUGCGCCCGCCAGUAUUCUGGCGGGCAUGCCUGUUCGAGCGUCAUUACAACCCUCAGGCCCCCGGGCCUGGCGUUGGGGAUCGGCGGAAGCCCCCUGUGGGCACACGCCGUCCCUCAAAUACAGUGGCGGUCCCGCCGCAGCUUCCAUUGCGUAGUAGCUAACACCUCGCAACUGGAGAGCGGCGCGGCCAUGCCGUAAAACACCCAACUUCUGAAUGUUGACCUCGAAUCAGGUAGGAAUACCCGCUGAACUUAAGCAUAUCAAUAAGCGGAGGAAAAGAAACCAACAGGGAUGCCCCAGUAACGGCGAGUGAAGCGGCAACAGCUCAAAUUUGAAAUCUGGCUCUCGGGCCCGAGUUGUAAUUUGUAGAGGAUGCUUUUGGUGAGGUGCCUUCCGAGUUCCCUGGAACGGGACGCCAUAGAGGGUGAGAGCCCCGUCUGGUUGGACACCGAUCCUCUGUAAAGCUCCUUCGACGAGUCGAGUAGUUUGGGAAUGCUGCUCUAAAUGGGAGGUAUAUGUCUUCUAAAGCUAAAUACCGGCCAGAGACCGAUAGCGCACAAGUAGAGUGAUCGAAAGAUGAAAAGAACUUUGAAAAGAGAGUUAAACAGUACGUGAAAUUGUUGAAAGGGAAGCGCUUGUGACCAGACUUGGGCUUGGUUGAUCAUCCGGGGUUCUCCCCGGUGCACUCUUCCGGCUCAGGCCAGCAUCAGUUCGCCCUGGGGGAUAAAGGCUUCGGGAAUGUGGCUCUCUCCGGGGAGUGUUAUAGCCCGCUGCGUAAUACCCUGUGGCGGACUGAGGUUCGCGCAUUCGCAAGGAUGCUGGCGUAAUGGUCAUCAGUGACCCGUCUUGAAACACGGACCAAGGAGUCGUCUUCGUAUGCGAGUGUUCGGGUGUCAAACCCCUACGCGAAAUGAAAGUGAACGCAGGUGAGAGCUUCGGCGCAUCAUCGACCGAUCCUGAUGUUAUCGGAUGGAUUUGAGUAAGAGCAUACGGGGCCGGACCCGAAAGAAGGUGAACUAUGCCUGUGUAGGGUGAAGCCAGAGGAAACUCUGGUGGAGGCUCGCAGCGGUUCUGACGUGCAAAUCGAUCGUCAAACAUGGGCAUGGGGGCGAAAGACUAAUCGA
rnacentral:sRNA from 1 species